GGAUUUCAUUUCACUGUUAUUGUUGAGGUUUUGAGGCCUUGUAUGCCUACUUGGUUUCGGCCUUCUAGGUGUACGGCCGUUUGUCGGCGUCCCUGGUCCAUAGAGCUGGGUUCGGGGCGUGACACCUCACUUUUUUCCUGGUCUGGUCGAGUCAGCCCCCCACUCACGUGAUGGCAUAAACCCUUGGCCACGCGUCGGGCAAGCCUCUCUUCAACGGUUGCAUCAGCUGCAGCUUCUUUCCCACCAACCCACCGAGAAACGAAGGGGAAGAGUGGUUUUUAUGUGAAGAGAGGAGGGUUUCGGUGAAGAAAAGAGGAUUUCUUAGGGUUUCUGCGCCGAUGAGAGGAUUUCAUCGCGCCGAGGAGAGGGUUUUCUCGGUAGAGAUGAGGGUUUUCUUAGAGGGUUGAAAGUGGCCAGAAGAUUGUUUCAGUGUAGAGAAAGAGGGUCUAUUGGAGGGUUAUAGUGCCGAAAAGAGGGUUUCUUCAGUGUAGAGAGUGAAAAAUCGGGUGCUACUGAGGGAGGUGUAGGCAAAAUGGCGGUUAACUGGGAAAGACGACAAGAGGGAGAAGAUGCACCAGAAUAUUGUGAGUGCUCUCUUCGAAAGCCCUGAUUCCUCGUACUUUUCUUGAAAAUCCUUUGCUAUGAAAAUGAUGGAAAUGUUAUUUUUCAUCUAAAGUUGAUAUGAAAUAUGUCUUUAAAUCCCUUUUUUGUUUACAUCGGCAUGCUCUGGAAAGGAAAG